rnacentral:rRNA from 1 species
AGCGUACACGGUGGAUGCCCUGGCAGUCAGAGGCGAUGAAGGACGUGCUAAUCUGCGAUAAGCGUCGGUGAGGUGAUAUGAACCGUUAUAACCGGCGAUUUCCGAAUGGGGAAACCCAGUGUGUUUCGACACACUAUCAUUAACUGAAUCCAUAGGUUAAUGAGGCGAACCGGGGGAACUGAAACAUCUAAGUACCCCGAGGAAAAGAAAUCAACCGAGAUUCCCCCAGUAGCGGCGAGCGAACGGGGAGGAGCCCAGAGCCUGAAUCAGUGUGUGUGUUAGUGGAAGCGUCUGGAAAGGCGCGCGAUACAGGGUGACAGCCCCGUACACAAAAAUGCACAUAUUGUGAGCUCGAUGAGUAGGGCGGGACACGUGGUAUCCUGUCUGAAUAUGGGGGGACCAUCCUCCAAGGCUAAAUACUCCUGACUGACCGAUAGUGAACCAGUACCGUGAGGGAAAGGCGAAAAGAACCCCGGCGAGGGGAGUGAAAAAGAACCUGAAACCGUGUACGUACAAGCAGUGGGAGCCUCUUAAUGGGGUGACUGCGUACCUUUUGUAUAAUGGGUCAGCGACUUAUAUUCUGUAGCAAGGUUAACCGAAUAGGGGAGCCGAAGGGAAACCGAGUCUUAACUGGGCGUUAAGUUGCAGGGUAUAGACCCGAAACCCGGUGAUCUAGCCAUGGGCAGGUUGAAGGUUGGGUAACACUAACUGGAGGACCGAACCGACUAAUGUUGAAAAAUUAGCGGAUGACUUGUGGCUGGGGGUGAAAGGCCAAUCAAACCGGGAGAUAGCUGGUUCUCCCCGAAAGCUAUUUAGGUAGCGCCUCGUGAAUUCAUCUCCGGGGGUAGAGCACUGUUUCGGCAAGGGGGUCAUCCCGACUUACCAACCCGAUGCAAACUGCGAAUACCGGAGAAUGUUAUCACGGGAGACACACGGCGGGUGCUAACGUCCGUCGUGAAGAGGGAAACAACCCAGACCGCCAGCUAAGGUCCCAAAGUCAUGGUUAAGUGGGAAACGAUGUGGGAAGGCCCAGACAGCCAGGAUGUUGGCUUAGAAGCAGCCAUCAUUUAAAGAAAGCGUAAUAGCUCACUGGUCGAGUCGGCCUGCGCGGAAGAUGUAACGGGGCUAAACCAUGCACCGAAGCUGCGGCAGCGACACUAUGUGUUGUUGGGUAGGGGAGCGUUCUGUAAGCCUGUGAAGGUGUGCUGUGAGGUAUGCUGGAGGUAUCAGAAGUGCGAAUGCUGACAUAAGUAACGAUAAAGCGGGUGAAAAGCCCGCUCGCCGGAAGACCAAGGGUUCCUGUCCAACGUUAAUCGGGGCAGGGUGAGUCGACCCCUAAGGCGAGGCCGAAAGGCGUAGUCGAUGGGAAACAGGUUAAUAUUCCUGUACUUGGUGUUACUGCGAAGGGGGGACGGAGAAGGCUAUGUUGGCCGGGCGACGGUUGUCCCGGUUUAAGCGUGUAGGCUGGUUUUCCAGGCAAAUCCGGAAAAUCAAGGCUGAGGCGUGAUGACGAGGCACUACGGUGCUGAAGCGACAAAUGCCCUGCUUCCAGGAAAAGCCUCUAAGCAUCAGGUAACAUUAAAUCGUACCCCAAACCGACACAGGUGGUCAGGUAGAGAAUACCAAGGCGCUUGAGAGAACUCGGGUGAAGGAACUAGGCAAAAUGGUGCCGUAACUUCGGGAGAAGGCACGCUGAUAUGUAGGUGAAGCGACUUGCUCGUGGAGCUGAAAUCAGUCGAAGAUACCAGCUGGCUGCAACUGUUUAUUAAAAACACAGCACUGUGCAAACACGAAAGUGGACGUAUACGGUGUGACGCCUGCCCGGUGCCGGAAGGUUAAUUGAUGGGGUUAGCGGCAACGCGAAGCUCUUGAUCGAAGCCCCGGUAAACGGCGGCCGUAACUAUAACGGUCCUAAGGUAGCGAAAUUCCUUGUCGGGUAAGUUCCGACCUGCACGAAUGGCGUAAUGAUGGCCAGGCUGUCUCCACCCGAGACUCAGUGAAAUUGAACUCGCUGUGAAGAUGCAGUGUACCCGCGGCAAGACGGAAAGACCCCGUGAACCUUUACUAUAGCUUGACACUGAACAUUGAGCCUUGAUGUGUAGGAUAGGUGGGAGGCUUUGAAGUGUGGACGCCAGUCUGCAUGGAGCCGACCUUGAAAUACCACCCUUUAAUGUUUGAUGUUCUAACGUGGGCCCGUAAUCCGGGUUGCGGACAGUGUCUGGUGGGUAGUUUGACUGGGGCGGUCUCCUCCUAAAGAGUAACGGAGGAGCACGAAGGUUGGCUAAUCCUGGUCGGACAUCAGGAGGUUAGUGCAAUGGCAUAAGCCAGCUUGACUGCGAGCGUGACGGCGCGAGCAGGUGCGAAAGCAGGUCAUAGUGAUCCGGUGGUUCUGAAUGGAAGGGCCAUCGCUCAACGGAUAAAAGGUACUCCGGGGAUAACAGGCUGAUACCGCCCAAGAGUUCAUAUCGACGGCGGUGUUUGGCACCUCGAUGUCGGCUCAUCACAUCCUGGGGCUGAAGUAGGUCCCAAGGGUAUGGCUGUUCGCCAUUUAAAGUGGUACGCGAGCUGGGUUUAGAACGUCGUGAGACAGUUCGGUCCCUAUCUGCCGUGGGCGCUGGAGAACUGAGGGGGGCUGCUCCUAGUACGAGAGGACCGGAGUGGACGCAUCACUGGUGUUCGGGUUGUCAUGCCAAUGGCACUGCCCGGUAGCUAAAUGCGGAAGAGAUAAGUGCUGAAAGCAUCUAAGCACGAAACUUGCCCCGAGAUGAGUUCU